rnacentral:rRNA from 1 species
UACGUAGGGUCCGAGCGUUGUCCGGAUUUAUUGGGCGUAAAGAGCUCGUAGGCGGUUUCGUAAGUCGGAUGUGAAAACUCAGGGCUCAACCCGGAGACGCCAUCUGAUACUGCGAUGACUGGAGUCUGGUAGGGGAUCACGGAAUACCUGGUGUAGCGGUGAAAUGCGCAGAUAUCAGGUGGAACACCGAUGGCGAAGGCAGUGAUCUGGGCCAGUACUGACGCUGAGGAGCGAAAGCGUGGGGAGCAAACAGG